UCUAUUUUCCAGUAUCUUUCAGGUGUGUGUGUUUAGUGAAGACUGUGAACUAAAUUCUGGUUGUGUCAUCUGGACAUUGAUUGACAUUGCAGAGCCAUGCAGUAUUUUAACUACUUACUGGAUGUUGGGCUACAGGCAUAAUUAACAAAAACUAUUUAAACUAACUCAUGAAGAAGGUGAUUUACAUAAGUUCAAAUGAAUUUGCAUUCAUUAGCAUGUUAUGACUAGGGAAGUAUUCUCUUAGCAGUUCCUUAUAAUUGAGUGGUAUGUACAUCAUUAGAGAAUACAGCUGAGAUGGACUGUGCAUUUUCCUUGUG